rnacentral:lncRNA from 1 species
GAGGCAUCUGGGUCUCUAUGAUUGAAACACAGCUUGCUUUGGAGUGGCUUUUCCCAUUGAUUAGGUUCCCCUUAGCUAGAAAACUGAAGGUCUGUUUUCAUGUCUUUCCUGCUCUCCUCCUUCGCUUUCCUUCCUCCACUAAAGGGGCUGAACCUGCAGCAACUCAGUCCACACGUAUUAUCCUCUCACACCUGUACACUCCCUCCCCAUAUCCUCACCAAGAACAACUCCCUGAGUGAUUCCUCAGCAUCAUGGUCAGUGUCCCGAUAAUUCCUCUGUGUCCCUCUAGCUCGCCAUUGAGGUAGAAGAAGAGGCUCUUCCCGACAUUGAGGUGAGCUCCUCUUUCUUUAUCUCAGAUGAAAAUGCAGCUUCAUUUCUUUUUUCAGUCAAAGGCAGUUAUAAAAUUCAGACCAUAUACGUUAUAGCUGAUGUAUACAGUUUCCUUGGUUGGGCAUGUUGAGGGAAAAUCAACUACAACAGAGACCUGAUUCAAUAAAUCUUUCCCCCAAUGUUAGCAUCAAAUAACUACUGUCCUAAGAGCAGGCCCUUUCCCCAGCAGAAUAUUUUCCUCCUUGAAGGAGGAAACUUUUAUGAUACCUGUUUCAAAUUGGACCUGAGAAGUCUUCCAGGAAAAGCUAGAUCCUUUCCCGCUGAUGUCUUCUCAGGUUCCUUUGGGGACCAUCGACUCAAGGACAGUUUCCCAGUUAGUUUUCUGAGGACAAAGAGGGAACAGAAGGCCUGUGAGCUCAGAGCACAGGAAGCUUAAUUAGAUCCUCACACUGUCCUUAUUUUUGUUUUUUCUCUAGUUGCAGAGACAGAACAUUGUCAAGAAAAUUCAUAUAUAUUAUGAGAGGGACACUCCACCGAUGAACAAUCAGGGUGAAGGAGAAAAAGAUGACCCUGAGGAAGCCAUGGACAAGCAGCCCACCAUUGGACGAAAUGAAGAGUCUGACAGCUCCUCAAACAUGCUGGAUGAGGAGGACACUGACAAAGACGGGAUGAGUUUGGAGGUCGACACUCCAGUGACGAACCAUCGGGGUGACGACGACGAUGACGAAGAAGAUCUCCCCGAGAUAGUGCUGGAUGACGUGCCUGCGGUGAGGGUGGCGGGACGGCCUCCAUUCGCUCCGCGGGUAAGUUGGGUUUUUAGUCUGAGCUCGCAGUGUUGCUCUAUUUCCCCUCCGUGGACAUUAAGUUAUGACAGCCUGAGCCUGCACGUUCCAGACCAUGUGGACGGUUCCGAGGGUUGGGACUCCAUGUCAGGCGCGUCUGUUGCCAACUCCCGAUGCCUGCUUCCGCAGGGCAAUGCGAUAACAACACCUGUCCCAGCCUGCAGAGGACAGAGCUCCUUCUCCAGAAGCAUCUUUUCCUCGAGGGAAAGAGUUCUGUCAUCUCCAACUGACAUGGCCUUGGACAUCCCGUCGUCUAGGACAAGUUCUUGCCUUUGUCCCCGAGGAGGGUUUGCUCUGCCUUUGCUGGGUUCUCUGGACUCCACCGCUGUUGUGCAUCGGGGUUUCUGCUGUCACCAAGUGAAGGAAAGACCUGUGCAAAUAGGUGGCCUUGUGGUCUGA